rnacentral:rRNA from 1 species
CUACGGGUUGCUCCAGUGAGGAAUAUUGCACAAUGGGGGGAACCCUGAUGCAGCAACGCCGCGUGGAGGAUGACGCAUUUCGGUGUGUAAACUCCUUUUAUAUGUCAAGAAAAUGACGGUAGCAUAUGAAUAAGCACCGGCUAACUCCGUGCCAGCAGCCGCGGUAAUACGGAGGGUGCAAGCGUUACUCGGAAUCACUGGGCGUAAAGGACGCGUAGGCGGGCUUGUAAGUCAGGUGUGAAAUCCUACAGCUUAACUGUAGAACUGCACUUGAAACUACGAGCCUAGAGUAUGGGAGGGGGAGAUGGAAUUAGUGGUGUAGGGGUAAAAUCCGUAGAUAUCACUAGGAAUACCUAAAGCGAAGGCGAUCUCCUGGAACAUAACUGACGCUAAGGCGUGAAAGCGUGGGGAGCAAACAGGAUUAGAUACCCCUAUAGUC